GACGAACGCUGGCGGCGUGCUUAACACAUGCAAGUCGAACGGAAAGGCCCUGCUGUUGUGGGGUGCUCGAGUGGCGAACGGGUGAGUAACACGUGAGUAACCUGCCCUUGACUUUGGGAUAACUUCAGGAAACUGGGGCUAAUACCGGCUAGGAGCUCCUGCUGCAUGGCGGGGGUUGGAAAGUUUCGGCGGUUGGGGAUGGACUCGCGGCUUAUCAGCUUGGUGGUGGGGUAGUGGCUUACCAAGGCUUUGACGGGUAGCCGGCCUGAGAGGGUGACCGGCCACAUUGGGACUGAGAUACGGCCCAGAGUGCUACGGGAGGCAGCAGUGGGGAAUAUUGCACGAUGGGCGGAAGCCUGAUGCAGCAACGCCGCGUGCGGGAUGACGGCCUUCGGGUUGUAAACCGCUUUCGCCUGUGACGAAGCGUGAGUGACGGUAAUGGGUAAAGAAGCACCGGCUAACUACGUG
rnacentral:rRNA from 1 species